AAUAGAUACCCUGGUAGUCCACGCCGUAAACGUUGGGCGCUAGAUGUGGGGACCUUUCCACGGUUUCCGUGUCGUAGCUAACGCAUUAAGCGCCCCGCCUGGGGAGUACGGCCGCAAGGCUAAAACUCAAAGGAAUUGACGGGGGCCCGCACAAGCGGCGGAGCAUGCGGAUUAAUUCGAUGCAACGCGAAGAACCUUACCAAGGCUUGACAUAACCGAGAACACCGUAGAAAUACGGGACUCUUUGGACACUCGGUUACAGGUGGUGCAUGGUUGUCGUCAGCUCGUGUCGUGAGAUGUUGGGUUAAGUCCCGCAACGAGCGCAACCCUCGUCGCAUGUUGCCAGCACGUCAUGGUGGGAACUCAUGUGAGACUGCCGGGGUCAACUCGGAGGAAGGUGGGGAUGACGUCAAAUCAUCAUGCCCCUUAUGUCUUGGGCUUCACGCAUGCUACAAUGGCCGGUACAAAGGGCUGCGAUGUCGUAAGGCGGAGCGAAUCCCAAAAAGCCGGUCUCAGUUCGGAUUGAGGUCUGCAACUCG
rnacentral:rRNA from 1 species